rnacentral:rRNA from 1 species
GACGAACGCUGGCGGCGUGCCUAAUACAUGCAAGUCGAACGCAGUGGGGACGGGUGAGUAACACGUGGGUAACCUCCCAUCAGAGGGGAUAACACUUGGAAACAGGUGCUAAACCGAUACUGAUGGAUGGACCCGCGGUGCAUUAGCUAGUUGGUGAGGUAACGGCUCACCAAGGCCAAGAUGCAUAGUCGACCUGAAAGGGUGGUCGGCCACACUGGGACUGAGACACAGCCCAGACUCCUACGAGAGGCAGCAGUAGGGAAUCUUCGGCAAGAGACGAAAGUCUGACCGAGCAACGCCUCGUGAGUGAAGAAGGUUUUAUGAUCGUAAAGCUCUGUUGUUAGAGAAGCGGUAUCUAACCAGAAAACCACGGCGAACUACGUGACAGCAGCCGCGGUAAUUC